AAGAAAUAAGGGUAUUACUUUAAUUUUAAAACAAAUAAACUAUGGCAUAUUGUCAAGAUCAGGAAUAACAUUCAAAUAAAAGACAACUGCCUACAAAAUGUGUGCCCACGAAGCUUUUUUAAAAGCUCUUGUCUUUGUAUACUUCACACCGGAAACAGCAUUUCGUCAUUUUGGCGCGAGAAGUGUAUUUCUACCGCGACUAUCAUUACGUUCUUAUGAAUCAUCAGAUGUUUUAAUAAACGUAACGUAUCGGCUGUAAAUGUAGAUCAAAGGACAGAAAGCGUCACCGUUAACACAUCGCGAUGUUAAACUGAAUGUUGCUGAUGAGUCCUCGUUUGAGCUGUAGAAGACAUUUUGUUUUUAAGUUUAGGAAUCAAGUAAGCCAUUUCCAAAACACACGGAGUUGUUUAUUUUCUGGACGGACAGGACAAUGAAAACAGCGACUAACACUACGAAUGAAGAUGCACCUCUACCCCUGUCAGCUCUGCAGCUUAUAGCUCCACCUUUACGCCUGAUGUCUGCAGCCAUGUGGAAGGUGAUGCUGCAGAGAGAUGCAGUACAUUAUGGGAAACUGGAGGAAACCAUAACAUCACUCUGUGAGACUGUACCUGGGCUGCUUCAUUACAGACAUCAGGCCAGGCUGACAAUGGGUUUGCGGGCACUGAUGAUCCUGGAAGAGCUUCGUCAGUCAGAUCCUCCUGAUGCUCAGCUUGUCCUCCAAGAGCUGCACAAGCUGCAAGAUUCCUCCAUUCCCAUCGGAAAGAGGAAGGAUCAAAAGGUGGAGGAAGCUAAACGAAACUUCCAGACCUUGGUGCACUCUCUCUUGAACAAUGCAGCAGCCAGAAAACAGUUCUUCAGGGAGGAAUUCCAUCUUCACUAUGGAGGAAACUAUGUGACCAGUCUAGAGAAGCUAUUGUGGGAGUUUCUAGUUCGAUUGGAUAAGCUAUUACCCAUUCCAGAUCUUGCUCAGACAGUCUCGUGGCUUAGUGGUGCCCCUGCUGUUUUAGAGGAGUGUGCACGUUCUGCAUCGCAGCCCCAGCUCCUCAGGACUCUGCUGCAGCAUGAAAGAUGCCUUGGACAUCUCAGCCCAGCAACUCUUCUGUCAUCCACUGGUGACGCGAUCCUGUCGUCCCUUUCCCUUCCUCUUUCGGGUAAAGUGCUGCAGACCAUGCAUUCAGAAUCCACUUCCUCAUCCAACAGGGUCAGAAAUCCCACCCCAUCAACACCCAGAACCACUCGCAGUGCUGCGAAAGAAGCCCAGUCGCAGGUCACACCUGUGAUUGGGUCCAUUUCCAAUGACGUUCUUCGAAAAGACGAUGAGAAUGUAGCAAGUUCAGGACAAGAAGUCGAAACAGCUUCUGAAAACUCCAGAAAUACCAGAAGCAAACAAAGAUCAUGUUCUAAAAAACAGGAUUUAGAGAAGGAUCCAGAAAAUGAAUAUUUUGUUGGGAAUAUGUUGGUCACAGUGAUCAGUCAGUCAUCCAGCAGUGAAGUAGAAGAAGAAGAGGAGGAGGGCAGCACAGAAGAAAUGAACAAUAGGAAGGAGAGUAGUGAGAGAGCAAACAAACUAGCCAAAAAGACUGAAGCUAAGAACAGAAAUGGGAAAAAAGGGCAAGAUGUUACAAGGAAAUAUUCCACUAGGACAAACUCUGAGGGCAUCGAGUCACAGCAGGAAGCAGAAAUGAGUGCUCUCCUCAUUUCCUGCAUGAAGCGCCAACUGAGAGUUGUCAUUCCCAGAUUAAACGACAGUGAUCUUCCUGUCUGUCCAAGUCAUCUGUCUGAUGAGAAGGAAAAUACAACGUCUUCAAAAGACAGUGCGGGAAACGGUCACUCUGUGAUACGCAAGAGGAAAUUUAUUGAUUUGAGUUCAACGCCGGAGAAACACCUGACGUUAUCAGUCAAUAAACCACCUUCUGCUUCUUCUCCAUGUAUUCCUGUUGUUCUGCAUCUUCCAGUCGGCAGUCCAGAAACACCAUCUCCCUCAGUUAAGUCAUCAGAUGACAUAAUUUGCGAUUCUGAUGAUGAGAGGACAGACAACGUCAAGAGGAAGUGACUUCGCUCUCACUGAAAGCGAGUCUGCAAUGUGUCUCUCUUCUCCAGGAGUGCUGUUAGCAAAUCACAGAGAAAGAGGUAUUCAGUCAGCAGUAUUAUAAAACAAAGAAUGGUACGUAUGUGCCCACACUGCGAGAGUUUUGGAAUCCCGUGUUUUGUUCCACAUUGUCUCCUGGAAGCAGACAUUGAUGCACUUUUGGAACAUCAUUCUUGCUUAGACUUUCUUGAUGCUGCAGUGUUUGCUGUUAUAGAUAAUGCAUGUAUUAGUCAUACGUCUGAGAUUUUAUUUAAACCGAAGCUCCUUACCACGUAGUACAUUUUUAACCACGAAAAUCUCCCUGCUUUUAGGAAGUGUGCAUUACUUAGAAUGAUUAGAAUCAUUUAUUUUAUUUUUAUUCUACCUAUAUCUGUAUCAUGUAGAAUGUUGUUGUCGUUGUUAUAUGUAAUAUAUUUAAAUAAAGAAUUUUGUCUCCUG